UAAUCGCGAUUUAUGGGGGAUUAACAGAUCCGGCUGAAGGAGGCAAUUCCAAACGAGACGUUCUGUAUUCGGCAGUGUCGGUUCUCUAUCUGGCCGGAACGGCGCCGGCGCAGAUUUGCCGGCACCGGCGGUGGACGCAUCUUUUUCUACAGCCAUUGUUGCUAAGAUGAAGAGCUAGCUUUUGGACUCUCACAGAUCUUCUUCUAUCUGCGGCGCUACUGCCGCUUUGGUUCUUUCUGUCUUUCGGUUAGUUGCGGCAAGAUCGUGGAGGGGGACCUGGGAGCGGUUUUUUUACUUGCUUUACAUAGUCGGCUGGAAAAUGAUAGGAUCUUUUCUUACCAGAACCCUCGCAAAUUGAAAAAAAAAACAAUUUGAUCGUACCCAUUUGUAGAUUGGUUCUUGGGUAUGCUUAUCCUGCUUAUGAAUGCUUCAAAACUGUGGAAUUGAACCGCCCAGAUAUUGAUCAACUGCGGUUCUGGUGUCAGUAUUGGAUCUUAGUUGCAGCAUUAACAGUCUUUGAGAGGGUUGGAGACACUUUUAUCUCAUGGUGCGGUAUGCAUUUAUUCCAGAAUUGUCUUAUUUUGCCACUUAUUUAUUGAUUUUUAGGUAAUUUUUUGAAGGAUGCCAA